AGUGAACGCUGGCGGUAUGCCUAACACAUGCAAGUCGAACGGCAGCACAGGAGAGCUUGCUCUCUGGGUGGCGAGUGGCGGACGGGUGAGGAAUACAUCGGAAUCUACUUUGUCGUGGGGGAUAACGUAGGGAAACUUACGCUAAUACCGCAUACGACCUACGGGUGAAAGCAGGGGACCUUCGGGCCUUGCGCGAUUGAAUGAGCCGAUGUAGGAUUAGCUAGUUGGCGGGGUAAAGGCCCACCAAGGCGACGAUCCGUAGCUGGUCUGAGGGGAUGAGCAGCCACACUGGAACUGAGACACGGUCCAGACUCCUACGGGAGGCAGCAGUGGGGAAUAUUGGACAAUGGGCGCAAGCCUGAUCCAGCCAUACCGCGUGGGUGAAGAAGGCCUUCGGGUUGUAAAGCCCUUUUGUUGGGAAAGAAAUCCAGCUGGCUAAUACCCGGUUGGGAUGACGGUACCCAAAGAAUAAGCACCGGCUAACUUCGUGCCAGCCGCCGCAGUAA
rnacentral:rRNA from 1 species